AGAAAAAACACGUCAACAUUCAAGAUGGCUGCCUCUGCUGAGAACAGACCCUCCACCUCUGGGAUUUCCACUGCUUCCUUUUAUAAAAGCAGAGCCCUGCAGGUAAAAAAAAUAUUUUGGGAUAAAGUAACAUCUAAUAAUUACUAUAGUUGCACAAAAUUCCAUGCAUUGCUUUUAUGUUCUGAGGAAAUUGGAAUUUUCCAUUUGUCCACUACGGUGGACAGCAUGCAUGACUUAUACUAUUUCUACUACAAUACAUGCAAAUGGUGUAACUCCUUAUCUCUGCAAAAUGCUUGAUUUCAAGCUUACCUUUUCAGUUAAAACCAACCAUUUUAUGUUAUUAAAAGGUAACCUGUAUUGUAUGUAUCAAAAAAUUAAUGUUGUGCAUGUAUUUUAUAUUUUGUGCAUGCAUAGUAUAUAUUGUAUUUUGUGCAGCCUUUGUGCAAGUUUUGCAAUGUUUAUAAAACAUUUUUUGCAAAAAUAUAUUUUGUGCACGCAUUGUAACACACACACACACACACACACACACACACACACAUACACACACACACACACACACACACACUACUAACAGUGCAUGCACAAAAUAUUAUAAAAACAAUGGAAAAAAUAUAUAUACAUAUAUAAGAUAAAUAGAAAGAAAGAUUGAUUGGUUGUGCAAUAUUUUUCACAUUAUGUUAUUUAUUAUAUGCAAGGUUCACGCACAGAGAGGGACCAGAGGAAGUACAGAAAUGUAGAGGAACUGCCAUCGUCCAGCGAUGCAAUAUCACUGUGUGCCUUCUUUUCAAAUGUGAACUAAUGUAGUACAGGGCAUCGACAACUGAAUGUGUUUGGAUAGUCACUAAGGCACUAUUUCUUUUAUUAUUGUAAUUAUUAUUUUCAUGAAUGAUCCAAUCUAUGGCAUUUGUUUUUGCUUUGAGUGUGCUGGCUGAAGUUGUAGCACCUGGCCUGAAGCCUAAUUAGGCUCAUGGUUUCAGUUCGUUUGACACAGUUGACAGUUGUUGUUGCUGUUGUUUGACACAAGCCAUGUUUUGAAAUGUGCAUUUAAACAGAAUUUAAAUGUUUUAAAAUGUGAA